rnacentral:rRNA from 1 species
UACAGAGGUCUCAAGCGUUUGUUCGGAUUCAUUGGGCGUAAAGGGUGCGUAGGCGGCGCGGUAAGUCGGGUGUGAAAUCUUGGAGCUUAACUCCGAAACUGCAUUCGAUACUGCCGUGCUUGAGGACUGGAGAGGAGACUGGAAUUUACGGUGUAGCGGUGAAAUGCGUAGAUAUCGUAAGGAAGACCAGUGGCGAAGGCGGCUCACUGGACCGGAACUGACGCUGAGGCGCGAAAGCGUGGGGAGCAAACAGG